GGGCCCGUAGCUCAGCUAGGUAGAGCGAUCGGCUCUUAACCGAUAGGCCGAGGGUUCGAAUCCCUCCGGGCCCGCCA
rnacentral:tRNA from 1 species